rnacentral:rRNA from 1 species
GACGAAGGAUGCAAGCGUUAUCCGGAUUCAUUGGGUUUAAAGGGUGCGUAGGCGGUCUUAUAAGUCAGUGGUGAAAUCUCUCAGCUUAACUGAGAAACUGCCAUUGAUACUGUAAGACUUGAGUACAGAUGAUGUUGGCGGAAUAUGACAUGUAGCGGUGAAAUGCAUAGAUAUGUCAUAGAACACCGAUUGCGAAGGCAGCUGACAAAACUGUAACUGACGCUGAGGCACGAAAGUGUGGGGAUCAAACAGG